rnacentral:rRNA from 1 species
UACGGGGGGGGCUAGCGUUGUUCGGAAUUACUGGGCGUAAAGGGCGCGUAGGCGGUUUAUUAAGUUGGAUAUGAAAACUCUGGGCUUAACCCAGAGCCUGCAUUCAAAACUGAUAGGCUAGAGUUCUGGAGGGGAUAGCGGAAUUCCUGGUGUAGCGGUGAAAUGCGUAGAUAUCAGGAGGAACACCGGUGGCGAAGGCGGCUAUCUGGACAGAAACUGACGCUGAGGCGCGAAAGCUAGGGGAGCAAACAGG